rnacentral:lncRNA from 1 species
GAAAUUUUAAACAUAUUUAAAACUUUCCAUUCACAACCGAGUGUUUCUGCGUUUCAUAAUUUUCAAUACAAGCAAUAUUUCCAUUUGGACGAAUGAGAUUUGGUUUCCAAAUAAUAUCUCGUUUUUUGAUCCGUGUAUAAAUUUGUAUGACUGUAUAGUUAGACAAACCUUCAUCACUUUCUUUAUCUCAGUCUCUCUCUCUUUCUCGCUAAACAUACUUGGCAUAUUGACAACUUUUUAAUAUUUUAUGUAGCUCUGUUGGUUUCUUUGAAAAUAAAAGAGACAACGUGGUAAGAUACAUGAGUACAUUGUGCAAUUCUUGGCCGGGCAUGAUCGGUUGUAAAACAAUUGGCCCCAAACCCUAACUAUCUCCUUGUCGAUCUUCCUCAGGAACCCUCGUAAUAAUGGAGCUGACGGUGGAUAUGAACCUGGAAAUGGAUCGGCCUGGUGACAUC